CCUACGGGAGGCAGCAGUGAGGAAUAUUGGUCAAUGGCCGGAAGGCUGAACCAGCCAUGCCGCGUGAAGGUCAGUGCCCUAUGGGCGUUAAACUUCUUUUGUGCGGGAGCAAUAAUGGUCACGUGUGGCCAGACGAGAGUACCGUACGAAUAAGAGUCGGCUAACUACGUGCCAGCAGCCGUGGUAAGACGGGAGAUGCAAGCGUUAUCCGGAUUUAUGGGGGUUAAAGGGUGCGUAGGCUGUGAGGUAAGUCAGCGGUGAAAGGCCCCCGCUCAACGGGGUGAAGUGCCAUUGAUACUGCCUUGCUGGAAUGCGGAUGCCGUGGGAGGAAUUGGUGGUGUAGCGGUGAAAUGCAUAGAUAUCACACAGAACACCGAUUGCGAAGGCAUCUCACGAAUCCGCGAUUGACGCUGAUGCACGAAAGCGUGGGUAUCAAACAGGAUUAGAUACCCGAGUAGUC
rnacentral:rRNA from 1 species